CUGCAGGCUGCAACUCGCCUGCACGAAGUCGGAAUUGCUAGUAAUCGUAGGUCAGCAUACUACGGUGAAUACGUUCCCGGGCCUUGUACACACCGCCCGUCAAACCAUGAGAGUUGGCAACACCCGAAGUCGGUAGUCUAACCGCAAGGAGGACGCCGCCGAAGGUGGGGUUGAUGAUUAGGGUGAAGUCGUAACAAGGUAUC
rnacentral:rRNA from 1 species